GGAUUAACGCUGGCGGCGUGCAUAACACAUGCAAGUCGAACGAUGAAACUUAACUGAUYUCUUCGGARUGAUUUUAAGUGGAUUAGUGGCGGACGGGUGAGUAACGCGUGAGUAACCUGCCUUGGAGAAGGGGAUAGCCUUUGGAAACGAAGAAUAAUACCCUAUGAUAUGAUARYAUCGCAUGAUAUUAUCAUCAAAGAUUUAUCGCUCUAAGAUGGACUUGCGUCUGAUUAGUUAGUUGGUGAGGUAACAGCUCACCAAGGCAGCGAUCAGUAGCCGGCUUGAGAGAGUGUACGGCCACAUUGGGACUGAGACACGGCCCAGACUCCUACGGGAGGCAGCAGUGGGGAAUUUUGCACAAUGGGGGAAACCCUGAUGCAGCGACGCCGCGUGAUUUAGAAGGCCUUCGGGUUGUAAAAAUCUUUUGUAUGGGAAGAAAAUGACAGUACCAUACGAAUAAGGACCGGCUAAUUACGU
rnacentral:rRNA from 1 species